rnacentral:lncRNA from 1 species
AUGACUCAGAGGAUUCUAACUGUGUGGUCUCACCAGGGGAGCACGACGGUAGAGGAAUCGCACAUAUUUCAGGUUUACUCUCAGGAACAUCUUUGGGACUGCAGCUGUCUUCAGGAAGCUGAUGGAGCAUGCUGCUCCUCGUUACCCCUCGUUUCCUCAACACCAGCCACACACGCCUCCUCCUCCUCGUCCAGUUGUUCCGGGAUCAUCUCUUGCUCACUGAUGUCCUCCUUGAACACCAUCUCUGUGUCACUACCAGGGCUGAGGGAGAUUAGACUUAUUUAUCAAGUAAUCAAAACAAAAAGCAUAAUAAUUGUGUAUUUUUGCUGAUAUAAUACUGAUCGUACCCGAAGGCCUCGUCAGCGUGGUGGGAAGGUUCACUCAGUUCGGACACAUCAGGGCUCGGCUGCUCCGUUACUCGAGGGGCCUCAGUGUUGGUGCUUAUUUCAAGUGUUGGCUCUACAUCAGUCUGUCCUGCUGCUUCUGCUGGAGAAACCACUGACAGAUCAUUAAAUAUAAAUAUAAAAGUACGUAUUCAAGUCGCAGCAGUGUUUCAUGGAAAGCUUUGAUCUAGUUUGAGUUUACACUCACCCCCAAUAUCCGUGUCCUCGUUCUCCAUGUGGCUGCUGUUCUCUCCUGGGCUCUGGGUUCCUUGCGAUUGUGAGAGCUGCUGUAUGAGGCCGUGUUGUUGGCCCACCUGCUCCAGCAGUGAGUCGUACUGCUGCUUGAACACAGCCAGCUCAUUCUGUAAGAUCGCCUAACUUCAGACGCAGUUCUGCCUGCUCCGCCUCAAACUGUUGGCUCCUGUGAUACAAAGUGACCCCAUUAUAAUUCCUGCAAAUGUUAAAAUAGUAGAGUUGCACAGAGACGUCAUUAUCCAGCAACCACACAAUACACGAGAGAGAGAGAGACCGAGAGACAGAGAGAGACAGACAGAGAGAGAGAGAGAGACAGAGAGAGACAGACAGACAGACAGAGAGAGAGAGAGAGAGAGAGAGAGAGACAGAGACAGAGACAGAGAGAGAGAGAGACAGACAGACAGAGAGAGACAGACAGAGAGAGAGAGAGACAGAGAGAGACAGACAGACAGACAGAGAGAGAGAGAGAGAGAGAGAGAGAGACAGAGACAGAGACAGAGACAGACAUUUAUAUAUAUAUAUAUAUAUAUAUAUAUAUAUAUAUAUAUAUUUAUUUAUUGAUUUGAAGAAACAUAACUGAUGCAAACAUGUUAAUUAUGUUGUGUUCCCCCCCCCCAAAAUAAUAACAAGCACCUUCAGGUAGAAGAAAUGCGAGAGAAAUCGCAAGUAAAUAGUUAAACAUUUAAUAAAAUACAAAAAUAGACAUACAUAUCGAUAACUUAUACAAACGUAAGAUGUACCGUACCUCUCUCUGUUCUCCUCCUCGGUCCUCUUGUCCCUCAUCCCGAGCUGCUCUUGUAGUGAAGCCACCUCUUCUUCACGCCUCUCUAUGCAGUCUUCUAACAGCAACUUGUCCUCGGUUACUUGACUCACACUAGAUUGUAGUUUGAUGUUUUCUCCAGUCAGCUGAUUAUAGUUAACUUCCAGCUGAAGCUUUUCCUCAACUACUCGAUUGAAGUCGGUGAUCAAGUUGUUUUUCUCGGAGGUUAGCUCACUUAGUUUAGCCUCGACUUGGACUUUGUCCUCGUUCACCAGAUUGAGGGUAGCAUCUAGUUGGGCUUUCUGCUCGAUGACCUCUCUCAGGGUCGAUUCAGCUGCUUGUUUCUCUGCGGUCAGUUGAUCGAUCCUCUGCUGAAUGUUGGUCUGCAGUCGUUUGUUCUCCUCAGACAGCUCUUUGAAACUGUCCUCCAGCUGUUUCCUCUCUGCAUUUACUUGAAUCAUUUCAGUUUCUACUCGCUCUUUGUCAGCUGUUAACUGUUUCAACGUAGUCUCAAGGUUGUUUCUCUCUUGAUGUAACUGGUUCAGAUUGUUGUCGUUGUCCUCAAUUGUCUGCCUGAGAGUUGUCUCUAACUUGACAUUUUCCUCUGUGGUCUGACAGAGUUUAGACUCUAGAGUAGCAACACUCUCCUCCAGCUGUUUUUGAUUGGCAGAGUCCUCUUCCAGACGAGUUAUUUCAUAGCUCCGCUCCAUCAGCUCCUCCCUAGCUGUGACAUACUGCGUCUCCAGCACAGAGUUCUGAGAUUGGACCUCCUCUAAACGGGUUUCCAAGACAGAGACCUGCAAAAGGUUAAAGGUUAGAGAUCAAAUCUCUCCAGAGCAACAUGAGCUGGUAAAUAUGAUGUCAAUUAGCGCCCU